GGGUUGUGAGGUUAAGCGACUAAGCGUACACGGUGGAUGCCCUGGCAGUCAGAGGCGAUGAAGGGCGUGCUAAUCUGCGAUAAGCGCCGGUAAGGUGAUAUGAACCGUUAUAACCGGCGAUACCCGAAUGGGGAAACCCAGUGUGACUCGUCACACUAUCAUUAACUGAAUCCAUAGGUUAAUGAGGCGAACCGGGGGAACUGAAACAUCUAAGUACCCCGAGGAAAAGAAAUCAACCGAGAUUCCCCCAGUAGCGGCGAGCGAACGGGGAGGAGCCCAGAGCCUGAAUCAGCAUGUGUGUUAGUGGAAGCGUCUGGAAAGGCGCGCGAUACAGGGUGACAGCCCCGUACACAAAAGCGUAUGUGCUGUGAGCUCGAUGAGUAGGGCGGGACACGUGGUAUCCUGUCUGAAUAUGGGGGGACCAUCCUCCAAGGCUAAAUACUCCUGACUGACCGAUAGUGAACCAGUACCGUGAGGGAAAGGCGAAAAGAACCCCGGCGAGGGGAGUGAAAAAGAACCUGAAACCGUGUACGUACAAGCAGUGGGAGCCCCACCACUAAGCCAGUGGUGAACUCCACAUACGCAUCCUUUGCUGAGGAUACGGUUAACGGAGCGAAAGCGACGUUCAACCGCAAAAGAAGCAGAGGGGGCUUAGUGGUGGGGUGACUGCGUACCUUUUGUAUAAUGGGUCAGCGACUUAUAUUCUGUAGCAAGGUUAACCGAAUAGGGGAGCCGGAGGGAAACCGAGUCUUAAC
rnacentral:rRNA from 4 species